rnacentral:rRNA from 1 species
UGGGGAAUAUUGGACAAUGGGCGCAAGCCUGAUCCAGCCAUGCCGCGUGAGUGAUGAAGGCCUUAGGGUUGUAAAGCUCUUUUGUCCGGGAAGAUAAUGACCGUACCGGAAGAAUAAGCUCCGGCUAACUUCGUGCCAGCAGCCGCGGUAAUACGAGGGGAGCUAGCGUUGUUCGGAAUUACUGGGCGUAAAGCGCAUGCAGGCGGAUCGUUAAGUCGAGGGUGAAAUCCCAGGGCUCAACCCUGGAACUGCCUUCGAUACUGGCGACCUUGAGUCCGGGAGAGGUGAGUGGAACUCCGAGUGUAGAGGUGAAAUUCGUAGAUAUUCGCAAGAACACCAGUGGCGAAGGCGGCUCACUGGCCCGAUACUGACGCUGAGGUGCGAAAGCGUGGGGAGCAAACA